GGGAGUAUAGCUUAGUGGUAGAGCAUUUGACUACAGAUCAGGAGAUUCCCUGAUUCAAAUCCAGGUGCUCCCU